UGGGGCGUCGCCAAGCGGUAAGGCACCGGCUUUUGGCGCCGGCAUUCGUAGGUUCGAAUCCUACCGCCCCAGCCA
rnacentral:tRNA from 1 species